UACGUAGGGUGCAAGCGUUGUCCGGAAUUAUUGGGCGUAAAGAGCUCGUAGGCGGUCUGUUGCGUCCGCUGUGAAAACUCGGGGCUUAACCCCGAGCCUGCAGUGGAUACGGGCAGACUAGAGGUAGGUAGGGGGAGAAUGGAAUUCCCGGUGUAGCGGUGAAAUGCGCAGAUAUCGGGAGGAACACCGGUGGCGAAGGCGGUUCUCUGGGCCUUACCUGACGCUGAGGAGCGAAAGCGUGGGGAGCGAACAGG
rnacentral:rRNA from 1 species